rnacentral:rRNA from 1 species
GACGAACGCUGGCGGCGUGGCUUAACACAUGCAAGUCGAGCGGUAAGGCUCCUUCGGGAGUACACGAGCGGCGAACGGGUGAGUAACACGUGAGCAAUCUGCCCUUCACUUUGGGAUAACUUCCGGAAACGGAAGCUAAUACCGAAUACGACCACUUCAGGCAUCUGAUGGUGGUGGAAAGUUCCGGCGGUGAAGGAUGAGCUCGCGGCCUAUCAGCUUGUUGGUGAGGUAAUGGCUCACCAAGGCUUCGACGGGUAGCCGGCCUGAGAGGGUGACCGGCCACACUGGGACUGAGACACGGCCCAGACUCCUACGGGAGGCAGCAGUGGGGAAUAUUGGACAAUGGGCGAAAGCCUGAUCCAGCAACGCCGCGUGAGGGAUGACUGCCUUCGGGUUGUAAACCUCUUUCAGCGGGGACGAAGCGAAAGUGACGGUACCCGCAGAAGAAGCACCGGCCAACUACGUGCCAGCAGCCGCGGUAAUACGUAGGGUGCGAGCGUUGUCCGGAAUUAUUGGGCGUAAAGGGCUCGUAGGCGGUUUGUCACGUCGGGAGUGAAAACUCAGGGCUCAACCCUGAGCCUGCUUCCGAUACGGGCAGACUAGAGGUAUGCAGGGGAGAACGGAAUUCCUGGUGUAGCGGUGAAAUGCGCAGAUAUCAGGAGGAACACCGGUGGCGAAGGCGGUUCUCUGGGCAUUACCUGACGCUGAGGAGCGAAAGUGUGGGGAGCGAACAGGAUUAGAUACCCUGGUAGUCCACACCGUAAACGUUGGGCGCUAGGUGUGGGACUCAUUCCACGAGUUCCGUGCCGCAGCUAACGCAUUAAGCGCCCCGCCUGGGGAGUACGGCCGCAAGGCUAA